rnacentral:misc_RNA from 1 species
GUGAAUCAUCAAAUUUUUGAACGCAAAUUGCACUCUCCGGUAUUCCGGAGAGUAUGCCUGUUUGAGGGUCAGUAUAAAUAAAAAUCGGGGUGUUGGUUGUCUUUCGUGGUGCCGCACCGGAUUUGGGUUGUCUUUCCUUCGGGUAAGUGACCUACAAUAUUUCAUGAUUCUCUUCGCACGUAUUGACAUGCUUU